GAAAGCUAGCUCCUGCACAUGUUGUUGCUGGUUCUAUUGCAUCCUAUUUUGUGGAGAGGUAUAAGUUCAAUAAGAAUUGCUUGGUGGUUCAGUGGUCUGGAGACAAUCCUAACAGUUUAGCAGGUUUAACUCUAAACACUCCC